rnacentral:lncRNA from 1 species
UGAGAAAUAAAACUCAUAUGCUCAUGUAACUUCCCAGAAUAUCACGUUGCAGUUCAUAUUUGGACAUCAUCUUUUAACAGUCAUGUAAUCAAGCUAAGCUUCAAAAUCCUUACAAAAUUUAAUCAUACAUAAAAUGGGAUAAUUAAUACAUAUAUUUAAGGUUAAAAUCUAGCUUGCUAAAAGGAGAUAUAGAAAACAGAGCAAAACAAAACAAAUAAUCAAAAUCUGGAAUUCAGUCCACGUAUUCACAUGACAUUUGAGAAUAAGGUAGCAAAUGAUCCAAAGCUCCAUGUAUAUGAUUCAAUGGCCAAGAAAAUGUUCAGCAUACAUACCUGUUUACAGCAAAAUCAACCAAAAUAGAAGUAAAUUUCUAAAAUAUGAACAGAUGCAGCAGCCAAAACAGAAGAAGCAAGAAUGAUUCAAAGUGAGCUUCAGCUUCUUAACCCAGAAAUCUAAAGAACAGUACUUCACCCUUCGAAUGAAACCAAAAAAGAAGAAAUUGAUGCCUUUCUUUCUAUGAAUUGUGUCUGUUCAUCAUGAGAAUUAAACUUUUUGAAGAAAGGAUUCUGCAGCUUAUCAAUAUCUCAGCCGUUCCUCUUUUUAGGUGUCCUAAAAUCCCCCCCCCCCCCCAGAAUGAGGAAAAUGAUCCUCUUAUAGAAAGACCUUAGGGCAGCAUCACCAGAUUUUCCUCCUUCCUUAAUUCUCCUUUUUACCCCUUUUUUACUUAGUUAUUUUACCCCCUAGCCCCUUAAUUACCCAUUUUUACCCCAUGCAAGCCUCCUCUUAUCCUUUAGAAGCUUCUCUCAUAACAGAAAAUAUUCUCUAGACCUAAGAUACCCAAAAUAGCCCCUGACACCCCUGUAUUUACUCCCCAAACUGACCCAAGACUCAAACCCAGACAAUGGGUUUCUUCUGCCCAAACCAGAAAUAACCAAAAGCCCAAAAGAGACCUAAACAUUAAAAUCAAAUGAAUUAAUGAAAUUAAGCUAAUAUUAAGACCUUAAGACUAGCUGGUUCAUUAACCAAACAAAAAGUCAAAUUGAUCAAGGCAAGUUGUAAUUGACCACGAACCUAAGCAUGCUAACAAUGAUUUAACAAUUAACUAGUUUAAAAAUUGAGUACAACCUGCUUGUUAAGUGUUCUAACCUAUCAUGCAAACAAAAACUAACUGAGAAGAAGAGAAAUAAAGAAAGAAAAGAACAGAGAAGAAAAAAUAAAACAAAAACAGAAACAAACAAAUGAUUAAAGGCCAAAAAGUACCGAUUUAAUCAUCAAGACGACCAAGAAAAAGCAAAAGCGGAAGACUCGCCAGGCUCAGGAUGCUUCGAAAGGGCUUGUAGCUAACUCAAACGACUAUUUUGGUCAAGAGUAAUCUAUUUAGGCAAACUUCCAGCCAAACGAGCAAAAAAUCAACAAAAAUCCCCAAACUGCAGGAACUAGGUUAAAUUUUAGAUCCGGGAUUCAGCGAGUUCAAGGGAUUAUUUGGGGAGAUUGUUGGGGAAUUUGAGUUUAGGGGGCGUGGUGAUUAUGGGAUGUGAAGUUAAGGUCGAUUGGGGUUGCUCCAUCGGCCGGUGGAGGUUGAGGGUUCUCUAGCGGCUAGGGUUUCUAUCCGGGUUAGGGUAAGGGACUAAAUGAAGGGAUUCGAAUGGGGGAGCUCUGUUUCGGAUAUUAAUAUAUGAAAUGAGAGCCAGUUCCCAGCUGUUGGAUCACACGAGAUCAAUGUUUGGGAUUCAAUGAGGCAGAAACGGGGUCGUUUGGCUUUAGUGGGGGCGGGCUAGUUUGAAGGGAUUGAGCUGGGUCGGACCGGGUGAGGGAUUGGGAGAGUGGGCUUAACAUCAAUUUUGGCCCAAUUGAAUUUAAAACUAGCCUUUUUACAUUUCCUUUUUCUUUUUUUAAUUAAUUAAAGACAUAAAUUAAAUUCUUAAAUUAAUUUAAAUUAUAAAAUUAAGCUAAUUAUCUAACUAUAAUUUUUAUAAAAAUUAAUUGAUCCUAAAUUAAAAGAGAAAAUAAAUAAUCCAAAAUUAAAAGCUAAGAAUGUAAAAAUGAGCCAUUAUUAUGAUUUUCAUUUUUAAUAAAGUAAUUAAUUGAUUAAUUAAUCCUAAAAUGUGAACACAAAAUCUAAAUGUAAUGCAUGGUAUUUUUGGGUUUUUUUCAUGAUUUUAAUAAAAGUAAACAUACUCAGAAAUGCAAACAAUUAACAAACAAUCAUACAAAAAUCCUAUAAAAUUUCAAACAAUUGGAAAAAAUCUAUUUCUUUAAUUUGUAGGAGUAUUUCACAUAGGGCAAAAAUCACGUGCUCACAACUGCCCCUCUUUGCUCAGAAAUACGAAGAGUUUUCGGGCAAAGAUAAAGUAAGCGAAUACGAGCUAUUUUUUCCCGUUUGGAUACUCCGUGGGAAGCAUUUUUGAAAGAUCUGAUCGAACCUUUCUUCCGAGGUUGCGUACAUAUCCUUGGCUAUAAAGGAAUCAGGUCAGUGUAGUUCGAAAUGUUUUGGUAGCUGGUACUACCGGGAAGCUGUGAUUUCAGUGUUGCUACUGCUUACUGAACUCCUUAUUACACCGAGACAAAAUAAAAAGAAGCUAGGCUAAACUAUGAUCUAUGAAUUACAAGAAUCCUAUCUACACAUCUUCAAACUUGAUCUUGCCGCUUCUGCAGUUCUGUUGUGCAUCUUGAACUGUUGACUCGCACUCUCGAGGCGAGCUUAUUUUAUUGCUGACUUGAAUUGAAUUCUGAAAUGAAUUCCCUUGUUUUCCAGGUAGGCGCCUGCUGUCAAAAUUUGAACUGCAUUCCCUUGUUUUCCAGGUGGGCGCCUGAUUGCCAGAAANNNNNNNNNNNNNNNNNNNNNNNNNNNNNNNNNNNNNNNNNNNNNNNNNNNNNNNNNNNNNNNNNNNNNNNNNNNNNNNNNNNNNNNNNNNNNNNNNNNNNNNNNNNNNNNNNNNNNNNNNNNNNNNNNNNNNNNNNNNNNNNNNNNNNNNNNNNNNNNNNNNNNNNNNNNNNNNNNNNNNNNNNNNNNNNNNNNNNNNNNNNNNNNNNNNNNNNNNNNNNNNNNNNNNNNNNNNNNNNNNNNNNNNNNNNNNNNNNNNNNNNNNNNNNNNNNNNNNNNNNNNNNNNNNNNNNNNNNNNNNNNNNNNNNNNNNNNNNNNNNNNNNNNNNNNNNNNNNNNNNNNNNNNNNNNNNNNNNNNNNNNNNNNNNNNNNNNNNNNNNNNNNNNNNNNNNNNNNNNNNNNNNNNNNNNNNNNNNNNNNNNNNNNNNNNNNNNNNNNNNNNNNNNNNNNNNNNNNNNNNNNNNNAAUUGCCGAAACUUGUGCUGUAUUCCCUUGUUCUCCGGGUGUGCGCCUGAUUGCCGAAACUUGAACUGUAUUCCCUUGUUCUCCAGGUGGGCGCCUGAUUGUCAAAACUUGAAUUGUAUUUCCUUUUUCUCCAGGUGGGCGCAUGAUUGCCAAAAUUUGAACUGUAUUCCCUUGUUCUCCGGGUGGGCACCUGAUUGCCGAAACUUGAAUUGUAUUCCAUUGUUCUCCAGGUAGGCGCCUGAUUGCCGAAACUUGAACUGUAUUCCCUUGUUUUCCAGGUGUGCGCCUGAUUGCCAAAACUUGAACUGUAUUCUCUUGUUCUCCAGGUGGGCGCCUGAUUGCCAAAAACUUGAAUUGUAUUCCCUUGUUCUCCAGGUGGGCGACUGAUUGCCAAAAAAUUGAAUUGUAUUCCAUUGUUCUCCAGGUGGGCGUCUGUUUGCCAAAAACUUGAACAGUAUUCCCUUGUUAUCCAGGUGGGCGCUUGCCAAAACAUACAAAACAAAAGAAACUUUUCUGCCCCAGUUUGGUAUUUGAGCACAUCUGUGAGUGUUAAUCGAAUCAUGUCUCCCAAAAGAGCUCUAAGAAUUUAAAAGCUAAAUUAUAUUUCCUAAAGUAAGAACUUAUGCCAAAUCUAGUUAUCUAUAAAGGUCUUGGAAUUUAACUAGGUCUCAUUAUCUAGGAGGGUCCUGAAAAUUUAUGGCUGAACCUGUCUGGCACAUCUUUUCCUUACGGAGGGUUCCUUCGGAACAGAUGAAAUUUCUUGCCCCUGUUUCAAUCAAAGAAAAUCUUAUCAGUUUGAAAAUGUGGUGGUUAGUUUGCGGAAUUCUUGCUGAAGGUGGCCUUUCCACUGCCAUGCUUUGUUCUGAUUAGCUGCCUUGGACUGGCAAAGAAUUGUUUGACCCUUUGAUUGAACCUCAACCAUAGACCCCGAAUGACCCGAGUGCCCCACACUCAACCUGCUAUUUUACAUUUCUAUCCUUCUAAUUUGAACCUCUGUAUUUUCCCCCAAAAUUUACGAAACCACUCGACCACUUGAACUUCUACUAAUACCUUAUUUUCCAUUUUGCAUCAUGCUAUUUCUGCAAUGCUUUGGCCGCACUUUGCUUUGUGCAAUUUGGAAGUUGGUAAUAAGCUUUGAAAUCCUUUCUUACUUACUUAACAAGGCUAACAUUGGAAAAGCCUUAGAGAAGUAGAACCAAAAGAAAAUGAAAUGCUAUGACUUCAAGAGUUAGGAAUAAAGAAGAAAAUUCGAAACAGGAUGACUGUUUGAGGAAGAAAAGGAAAAGAGACUUAUCUGAGUGAGGCAGCUGGCACCAAUGAUCAUGACAUGCAUUUAGGAUUAAUCAACCUAGUUCGUUCAGCCAAUCACCUUUCAGUUUUAAUACUUUAUGCCCCGGGGUUUCCAUAAUCCAAUCUCUCUGCAAAGUCACCAACCUUGUUCGGCUUGCGGCGCCCUAAAGGGUUUUCACCAACAAACCUCUCUCAUUUGUUCAUCUCUUAACUCACCGUCGCCUUACGAUGCCCGUGAGGGUUUUUACCAAUAAGACUCUCUCAUUUUAAUUUCUCUCAUUUUUCCAUCGCAUAACGGUGCCUGUGAGGGUUUUCACUAAUAAAACUCUCUCAUUUAUUCAUUUUCCUUGUGUAGAACAGAGUGUUGCCCUUGAUGACUCAUACAUCUAUCUCGCCUGACUUGGCAUCCCUCAAAAAUUGAUUGAAAGGUCUUUCUUUGGACCAUGAUGUGGGCUUUUGGAUAGGGUUAGACAAAAAGGAUAUCAUAAAGGCUCAAAACAACUGGAAUGGGUUCAAAAUUACAACUUUUGGAAUCAGAUCUCUUACAAAACCGCAACUUCUGCCCCAGUUUCUUUGCCUGGGGACUUUUGAAUUUUUUAUUUUGAUAGGACCGAACCGUGAGGCUGCCUACGUAUCCUUUAAAGGAAUCAAGUCGAACGUAGUUCAUGACAUAAGCGUUGCUUUGUUUUUGUUACUUUUUCUUUUGCUUUCUUUUUCUCUCUUUUAUCUUUCUUUUGCUUUACCUUCUUCUUUUUUCCAUUUUUAUCUUCCUUUUUUUCCUUUUAUUUAUGUUCCUAAACUUUACUUCUGAUUACGAAAGAGGGUAUGAAAGUAAAUAAAUAAGGCUCAAAAUGGGUAACAAAGGAUAAAAGUGUUUAGAUAUCAGAAUAAAAUGUCUUUGUCAUUCCAAUCUUCGAAACAUGCCAAAUACAAACAACACAAUUUGAAGAUGAACCAAAGAAAUCAUAACAAUAUCUCUUGACUGCAUCAGAAUUGACAGUUAUUUCUACACAUUUGUCUUCUAUAUCUAUUAAACAAAAAUCACCAUUGGGGCAACACUCCCGUUACAAUGAACGACCCCUGCCAGUUUGGGGAAAACUUGCCUUUAGCCUCAGCUUGACGUGGAAGAAUGCAUUUUAACACUGACUGAUCUACCUCAAACUGUUUGGGAGAUAUUUCUCUGUUGUAUGCUCUUAUCAACCUCUUGAUUGCCCAGACUAACUGCCUCAGUUUCACUCAAUUCCAGCUUUGUGUUAUCUCAAAAUGCGUGAAUCUUUAUUUGUUUCCUCAAACGCAUCUUUUAUCAUAUUCAAAACUAUGUUUCAUUAUUCCAAGAUUAGAUUGGCUUUCAAGAUCUAGCUAAAAACUCCACAUGCAUGUCAUGUCAUUAGAACCAGCAUAACAAGAACUGUAUAAAGGAAAAAAAAAUUAAAACAUAUAUUAGGAAUAACAAUAAAAGAAGAAAAAUUGGAUUCCACCGAAAAUAAAAGAAUAGAAAGGUUUUGACCAUCAAAAGAAGCAAAAGUGAAAUCUGGGUUACAACCCUUUGAAUAAUCCAAAUAACAAAAAAAUAAAGCAAACUACCAAACAUCCUCCCGGGUGGGGAGAGGAGAGGCUUCCCAAUUGCUAAGCUUCACAUUCGGCCCAACAAAAUGCACAUAUUCAUCACUAGAACCUUCCCCAAUUUCAACCAUAUUGACCUCAUCAAAUAGAUUUUGGGACAUUUUGAUCGACUCUACAUUAAAGUCAACCACAAGCUUUGGAACUGCUGACACCGGACGCUUUACUACCCAUGUCUUGAAGAAAGAUCUGGAGAGGCAUGGGAUAGGCUUAGGGAGAGACCAUUGUUUCUUUUUCAACUUUUUAGCCUUCUUUACAUCAUCCCCUGUAGACUUGAACUCCAGACCAAAUGUACCCAGAUUUUCACGUAAAGAUACUGGCUGCACAAUACCUUGCAAAGAUGCGCCCAGACCCUUACCCGGCACAAAACCAUACUUCAACAUCUCGUUAGCUACCAUAAAAAUCGAAGGUGAUAACCUCGGCCUUGGAAUGCAUUUUCCUUCAGGAAUUUUUUCGACGGACAUGGUUUCGAAAGUUUGAUAAACUAAAGGUCUUUUAUCAUCUCCAGCCUCAACAAAUGGAAUAAAUGAAUCUUCAUAAAGAGAUAAAUCCUCAUCACCAUGCACAUCUAUUUCUUGUUUGUCCCACUCAAAUUUUACCAUUGAUGUAGAGAAGAUGGCACUGCCUUAGCCGCAUGUAUCCAAGGCCUACCCAUUAACAAAUUAUAGGAGGAAACCACAUCUAGCACUUGAAAUUUCACACUGAAACCAACUGGCCCUAUCACCAAUUCAAGCAUUAUAUCUCCAGCAUAAUCUUUUCCUUCCCCAUCAAAGCCUCGAACACAUACAUUGUUCAUGUGGAUUCUUUCAGUGCCGAUCUUCAACUUUUACAAAGCGGACAGAGGGCAAAUAUUUGCAUUGGAGCCAUUAUCAACCAACACCCUUUUGACAAAAUAAUUUUUGCAUUUCACCGUGAUAUAAAAAGCUCGAUUGUGUUCUGUACCCUCUAUAGAAAGAUCAUCGUCUGCAAAAGUGGUCCUAUUUGCUUCGAAGAUCCUGCUAGCAAUAUUUUCCAAUUUGAUUCACUGUGAUCUUAUCAGGAACAUGUGCCUCGUUCAGAAUCUUCAUUAUGGCCCUGCGGUGUUCAUCUGAAUGUAUCAACAAAGAUAACAGAGAAAUAUUAGCUGGAGUUUUCCUUAAUUGUUCAACAAUGGGAUAGUCUUGCACUUUCAUCUUUUUCAAGAACUCUUCGGCCUCUUCCUCGGUAACCGGUUUCUUCAUUGGCAUUUGGCUAUCCUUGGAGAGCUUGGCCUUCCUCAAUUCUUCGGAGGUAAAACAUCCCCCAAAAUGAGUCGGUACUCCGAUCUCAACAAAUUCUUCCUCCACUUCUUUUCCCUUGUUUGUCAUUAUUGUUCGUUUGUAGUUCUAGGGGACAUCCUUUGUCUCAACUGCUGGCAACUGAGUCACUGGUUUGAUAACAACAGGGGUAAUGGGAGACCAUUUCACAACUACAACAUGCUUGCUUAGGAUCCCUGGUACCACCAACUUUGACUUUUUCUGACUUGCCCCGACACCGUUCGAAGACCUUUUUGCAAACAGCACACGUUUUCUAAAUACCUCAUCUUGCUCCACAAUCUUAGCGGGUUUUUCAAUUUCAAUGGGAGGCCCAAAAUGAGGAGUGUAACAGUAUGGAUCUGAGGUCUUGAAGGUUGGUUCUGUAGUAUAGUAUUGGGCAUCAAGAACUUUGAACAAGGUUCCACUAGAAGAUAGAGGGAUGGUGGCAUGUGAGGGAGCUGCAAAAACGGGAGUAGUUAAUGACGCGAGAUAUGAAGCUGUAUUGGCUGGUAGAGCAUGAAAGGGCUGGGACAAGGUGCCAGGGUAGUUGUGGCAAGGGGUAAAGCUUGGGGCGUGUUGUGGGGACAGAUCAGCAGCAGUGGGAAUCUGGGAUUGUGAUGGUAGUGGGACGAAAGCUUUUCAAUGUAGUUAGUAGGGAAUGAGAGUAGAGGAUGCCCACUAAUCCAAGCCUGGUACAUCUCUAUUAUCUGGUGUUUCAACCUUCGGGCCUCUUCUUUCAACUCAAAUUCCGAUUCCACAAUCCCCCUUGACAGAUCAACAACGCCUAUGUCCAAUUCCUUACUAGUCAUGGCUGUCUUGCUAUUUGACCUAGCGUAUAUGGAUGACUCGCCCAAAUGCCACAAACUAACCACCUUCCUGUUCUCAAUGACAACAACAAACUUGUUAGUGUUUAAGAUUUAACAGAUAGGCAACCGCACGUUUGGGAUGCAAUGCACCUGAACAAUUAAAAGCUUCUACUAUGUAUUUGAACGGCUGCAUGUUUCAUCCCGGCUUUUAACUAACUCUUUUCACUUUGCACUUUCUAUUUUCUCUUUUCUUUUCUUUUCACUCCAACCUUGUCUUUAGUCACUAUUGAUUUUCCCACUUGCUUCUUGUCGCUCCAUUUUUUUAUUUUUGCACUCGCUUUUGGUUUUCUUGUUUCGCCAUUUUUUCUUUCCACUCAAUUUCUUUUCUUUUAUUCUCUCUCUUUUUUUCUCUCUCUUUCUUCAUUUUUUCCUUAUUUUAGGGUUAUGAUCGAAUCCUAUGUGAAUUGUCUACGUAUUAUGAUGUCGCAAGAAUCAGAUCAUUACGUAGUUCAAGAGAUAAGUGCGAAAUAAAAGAAAGACACAUUUUUUGGGUUUUCAAAUUUUUCAUAAAAUAAAAUAAAACAUUCUGAUUUUUCUUCUAUUACAACGACUUCCCAUACACACUUAAACAUAAAAACUAACAGACUCCAAAGAAACCGUAAUACAGACUCAAAAGUGGACUAUCAAUCUCCAAAAGAAACUGAAAAUACAGACUCAAAAGUGGACUAACAAACUCCAAAAAAAACUGAAAAUACAGACUCGAAAAAUAAUAUCAGAAAUACAUAAGUGCCUCAACUACUGCUCUAGGGGCCCGCGGGACAUCAGUCGGUCUUGCCGCGGGCCUACGCACUAUAUCUUCUUGAAGGCGAUAUAAGUCAUCCAUUAUUUGACGGACAAAAAUCAUAACUGCAGCGAAGAACAUGAACCUAGUCAUGUCCUCCCAUUCGUUUCACUUCAUCACAAUAUAGUCAACAAUCCUUCUAACCCUCUCCCUGAUGACACCCUUCUCCUGUAGCAAACGUCCAAUCUGUUGAGAUCUGGCCUCCAAAACUUGUGUGGCUGUUUGAUUUUGCUCUUGUAAUUGUUGUAUGUCCUCUUCUAAUUGUGACAUUAAGGCAUAGCAGUGUUCCCUUUCUGCUUUGAAGUUCUUUGCUUGCUUGGUCAUUUCGCUCUCAAAAACAUUAAUCUUUUUCUUCAACCCCAUGAUUCCUUUGUCGUUUUUUUCCUUCAACUGUUGAAUGAAACGUGCCCGUUUCUCCGCAUUCCUGACCAACUUUGCUCGGUCCUUUGCUAGCUCGCCCUCGGUCUUUUUCAAAUCAAAAUCAUAGUCACCAACUUUCCGCCUAAGUUUAUCUAUAAUUUUUUCAUCCUUUACACUUCUAGCAGGGUUCUCAGCUCCUGGAAUUGGGCUCGGAGGGCGUCAUUUUCUUUGGCUAACCUUUUCUUUUCACCCUCAUCUGCAGCGGCUUGCAAACCAUUCUCAAAUUGAAGAUCUCUGACUUGCUUUUCCAACUUGCUUAUGGUGGCCCUAUACUCAUUUUCUUUGGCCAGUCAAUCCCAUUGUUCCUGUGAUGCUUCAACAAAUUCUUAGAGGUGGGGUCUUUUGGAUGGUCUUCCGAACUAAACACUUCUUUUAUACCAAGCAAGGUAACCGAAUGAGACUUCUCCCUUGGAUAAAUCACGCACUCAGAUGUUUGCCAUCAGGUAUUGGCACUCACUCCAGAUCUGGUGAAUCACUGCUUCAUGAAAUUGGCUAUCAGAAUGGAUCUCGACUGCAUGAAUGCUAAGGUCUUCGUCCUUGGGAAUUAUUUGGCAUCUUCUCAACUAUCUCAAAACCUGGUACGGGGCAUAAGGCUAGAUACUUUUGAGACCCAUCAGGAGGAAGUGAGGACCGGCGGCAGGCAUGUAUAUAAUCUCAUUAACAGGAAGCCAACCCAACGUCCACUCAAUCUUAUCAGCAGUUAUAGAGUGGAGGCAAGAUAUCCAAUCUAAGACCCCUUCCGGCAUCUUGAACCCAUCGACCCUUGUAUCAAACUCCUCUAUGCAGCUUUUCCAUGUCGACCCGUAAUUCAUGUACCGAGGACGAUGACAUAGAUGUUCAAUCAUCCAUAUUUGUAGCAACAAAUUGCAACCUUCGAAAAAAUCUACUCCGUCUUUGCAAGCGGUGAGAGCUCGAAAUAUUUCAGACACUAUCAUAGAGGCAAAGGUGCUCUUGGCAUUGGUAAUCAAAGUAUUGACAACUCCGGCUACCCGUAGAUCAAUAUUCCCGUCCUUCCUGGGAAACACUAGAAGUCCCAAGAAUACCACCAUGAAAGCGAAACAUUUAUGCUCUUCCCAUUUUGGUUGGUUCCCUUUACUACAAAUUUUACUUUUCUGGUUUCAAAUCCCUCUAUAUGUCCGUACCGCCGGUAUAUGAAGUAUAGAGUGGAAAACCCAUUCUCCAAAUCUACAUACUGGAUCUGCCUGCUUAUUUUUAGCAAAUCCAGAAACUUGUGUGGGGUGACAGCCCUUGGAGCAACCAGGUAUUUAUGUCUUAGAGCCUCGGUACCCCCAGCGAAUCCCGCUAUCUCCUCCAAAGUAGGUGUGAGUUCGAAGUCCAAGAAAUGCAUAACGUUGUGAGAUGGAUCCCAAAAUGUCACCAGUGCUUUUAUUAUAUCUCCCUUAGGUCUGAUCUUUAGUAAUCCGGUGAGCGCUCCCAAAUACUGGUUGACCGUGUCUCGUCCUGGCUUACCUAAAUCUUCCCACCACAUGUGUAGUUCUAACGGAAUCUUGGUCAUGACCUUCAUUGGUAAAUUUUGAAUCGUGCUCAUUCUGUACAUUUAGAUUAAGGUGACUAGUUUAAAGACAAAAUGAAUCUUAUUUUGAAAACUAAUAAAAAGAGUUUAUUUUGCAAAAAUCAAAUAAAUCACGGCUACUUUUGCGAAUAUGGCCCUUCAGCACUUUGAAAUGGAAGAUUUUAGGGUUGUGGUCGCUAAAUGGCCAAAAAUUGACAAAGACACCGUCAGUGGCUAUUCUUGCAAAAACAGCCUUCUGACGUCCUGUUGGGACAUUCGGCUAUUUAGACAAAAACAACAUCACCCACUUUAUUUACGACAAAAAUGACGACACUUCAUAUAUAUAUAUUUUCAAAAUUUUCAAAAAGCGGGGCAGGACCCGAUGAGGGUUGUCUACGUAUCCUACAUCCGGUGAGAAUCAAACCCGCGUAGUUCGGCCAGUUUUGACGCAACUGAAAAAAUACAAACACUUUGAAAUGAUUUUUCCCCUCUCUUUUCCUUCUUCUUUUUUCAAAAAUUUUCAACAGAGUUUCGGGAUAUUUCGGAUACUGGAUUUUGGAAAACAGAUGAAAUUCUAUCUCAUACCCCGCACUUGGUUUUUCUUUUGGUUUUCCUCACUUAAUCUAGAGUCGGUCAACAUGCAAUCCGAAACAAAUUAAAUGCACACGUAGCACAUAAAAAUGUAUCAGGUUGGUCUCUUUAUUUUCGAGUACGCCUGUCCUAGACGGAUCCAACCCCUGUGUUGAGUCCACAAAGUCAAAUGCACAUGAUGUAAACAAGCGUUCCUACUAGGGAUCCGGUAUGAGGCUGAGUUAUUCUAGGUUCAAAACCUGGGUAUGUUGUUCUAGACUUGUGUACCGAAGCGGACAACUCGAGUCGGGGGGGCUACGUACCAGGAACCAAAAGGCCAUCCGGCUUUGUAACUUGUCCGAACCUCUUUCUAAAUUAGGGUAUGACACUAAAAGAAAAGAAGUCACGCCAGCGUGCACUUCUCCGAAGAUGAGAAGAGAAGGGUUUCACAGCAAUUUAUAUAUAGUUCCAAUAAUAUAAGCGGUAAAAAGCGGCAUUUAGCACAUUAGGCCCAAGCAUGUAAUAAAAAUCAGAUAAUAAAUAAAAGCCAAAUAUAACAGUUAUUCUAAGCUCGAAUUCUUGAACCCUGAACCAAAGGUUUUGGGUUCUUAUCCCCAACAGAGUCGUCAGAGCUGUCACACCUCCUUUUUCUACCACCGGAAAGGGUGUAUGAGAGUUUUUCCAGUUUAAGUGACAAUCGAAAUGAGAUUAUUUAUAUUAAAUUCAAAGUCGCCACUUGGGAUAAUUUAUGGUGUCCCAAGUCACCGGUUAAAAUCCCAAAUCGAGGAAGUUUGGCCCUGUUUUACAGUCCGCGAAACAUAGAAAUAUGGGUAAGGAAUUUUUUUAACCCGAGAGAAGGUGUUAGGUAUUUUCGGGUUCUGUGAUUUUAGCACGGUCGCUCAACUGUUAUUAUUGGCCUAUUUAUCUGAUUUUAAAAUAUUCUUGAAACCUAUGCAUUUUUAUCCCUUUUAAACCGUUUUUAAUAAUAAUCCAAUUAUCAUACAUCUAAUUAUUUGAUUAUAUGUUGCGAAACAUGUCACGGGAACCGUACCCAUGAUCUAUAACAUGUUUAUUUUAUUAAUAAAAUUAAAUUGUGGCCGGGUCACAUAAAUAUACCCCCGAAUUUUUAAAAUUGUGUAUCAUAACUACGUCACGGGAAGCGUACCCGUAGUUAUGACACUUUACUUAAUUAAUGGGCCUAAAGCAAACUACGAGAACUCAAGGCAUUUUUCUACAUUAGCUAAGAUAAUUAAAAUGAGGGCCAUAGGUUGGGUGAUUCAAUUGUGUGAAUGGCGCGCCUCAAUUUCUUUCAAAGAAAUACAUUCAAUUAAAAGAACUACGGGUAUUCAUAUUUAAAAACUAAUUUGAAAUUAGAUAUCACAACUACACCACGGGAGCCGUACCCAUAGUUGUGAUGAUUUAAUUACGUACCUAAAGCAAACUACGAGAUUCAUGUAUUCUUAAAACUAAUUCGAGGUUUAAUGUCGGGCUGUGGAUUAUAGCUUAAGGUAUUAGAAAUUGGUACAUGCUUUUAAACCUUCUGAACCAUUGUGCCAAAUAGGAAGCUCGUCACGUUAUUUAAAGGGGCUCAAAUAUUGAAAGCCGUUGGGCUCGAAAUCCAGCCCAAAAUGAAAGAAACCACAGACGGAGGCACUUCUAAGCCUGAUUAGGACCAUGCUACCCCAUUCAAAUUGGGUUGGGAAUGAAUAGCUCCCUUUUUGCCCACAGCAAAGGAAACCUUCAUUGAUUCCCAUAGUUUAUUUAUUUUAAUAAAGCAAUGUUCUGUUCCUUAGGCCCAAUGGUAACAAAAUGUUACUUUUAACUAGCUAAUUAAUAAACAACCACUUUACAACAAACAGCCCCAAAAGGCAACGAGUCAGUGAAAAGGUCUUACUCAGAUUGAAGUAUGGCAAAGUAAACAAGUGAAACAUCUGACUAACUUUAUAACAUCUCCUCUCAUACAGCAGCACUCAUACAUUAAUCACAUAGCAAGAAAUAAACUUGAAUUAUUAUAUUAACCAAUGAAUUCCUAUUCAAACUUGAUUUGCAUCCACUUAAUCAUUUUGGUAUUACACUACUUAAGUCUUAACAAUUUAACACCAUCAUAGCUAAAGUAAGAUAAGCAAAUCAUGACCUCAUGACUAACAGGACAUCAACUUAAACAUGAGCUUUAAAUCAAAUCGCUGAGAAAUAAAACUCAUAUGCUCAUGUAACUUCCCAGAAUAUCACGUUGCAGUUCAUAUUUGGACAUCAUCUUUUAACAGUCAUGUAAUCAAGCUAAGCUUCAAAAUCCUUACAAAAUUUAAUCAUACAUAAAAUGGGAUAAUUAAUACAUACAUUUAAGGCUAAAAUCUAGCUUGCUAAAAGGAGAUAUAGAAAACAGAGCAAAACAAAACAAAUAAUCAAAAUAUGGAAUUCAAUCCACGUAUUCACAUGACAUUUGAGAAUAAGGCAGCAAAUGAUCCAAAGCUCCAUGUAUAUGAUUCAAUGGCUAAGAGAAUGUUCAGCAUACAUACCUGUUUGUAACAAAAUCAACCAAAAUAGAAGUAAAUUUCCGAAAAAUGAGCAGAUGCAGCAGCCAAAAUAGAAGCACCAAGAAUGAUUCAAAGUAAGCUUCAGCUUCUUAACCCAGAAAUCUAAAGAACAGUACUUCACCCUUCGAAUGAAAACCAAAAAAGAAGAAAUUGAUGUCUUUCUUUCUAUGAAUUGUGUGUGUUCAUCAUGAGAAUUAAACUUUUUGAAGAAAGGAUUCUGCAGCUUAUCAAUAUCUCAGCCGUUUCUCUUUUUAGGUGUCCUAAAAUCUCCCUAGAAUGAAAAAAAUGAUCUUCUUAUAGAAAGACCUUAGGGCAGCAUCACCAGAUUUUCCUCAUUCCUUAAUUCUCCUUUUUACCCCUUUUUUA